rnacentral:lncRNA from 1 species
UAUAUAUAUAUAUAUAUAUAUAUAUAUAUAUAUAUUAUUUUUUCUAUACAUAUAUAAUAUAAGGUGAUAAAUAUUUUAGUUUUUUGAUAAAUGCAUAUAAUUUUUUUUAACAAUAUAAAUAAAUUAUGUGUGAAGGAUAAUUUUUUUUUAAAGAAUAUAUAAACUAUCAAUAAAAAUUUUAUUAACUUUUAUUUGUACGAAAAAAUAUAAUAAUAUUUUAUUAAAAUUAAUAUUUUAUACAUAAUAAAAAAAUAUUUUUAUAUUAAUAAUAUUAUAUUUUAUUUGCAAUUUCUAUGCCGUGUUCGUGUCCGUAUUUUAAUUUUUUAAAAGUUGCUGAGUCAUGAUAAUCGAGUCGUGUCAUGUUUCAUGUUUCGUGUCAGUGUUCGCGACGUCUAGAUUUAAACUUUCUGUUAUUACAAACCAUACUUCAUUA